GACGAACGCUGGCGGCGUGCCUAAUACAUGCAAGUAGAACGCAGUUGCGAACGGGUGAGUAACGCGUAGGUAACUGCCUGGUAGCGGGGGAUAACUAUUGGAAACGAUCGCUAAUACCGCAUACUACCAGAUGGACCUGCGUUGUAUUAGCUAGUUGGUGGGGUAACGGCCCACAAAGGCAACGAUACAUAGCCGAGCUGAGAGGGUGAUUGGGCACAAGUGGACUGAGACACUGCCCAGACUCCUACGGGGGUCAGCAGGAGGGAAUCUUCGGAAAUGGGGGGAACCCUGACCGAGCAAAGCCGCGGGAGUGAAGAAGGUUUUCGGAUCGUAAAGCUCUGUUGUUAAGGAAGCGGUACUUAACCAGAAAGGGACGGCUAACUACGUGCCAGCAGCCGCGGUAAUAC
rnacentral:rRNA from 1 species